UUAAGCGACUAAGCGUACACGGUGGAUGCCCUGGCAGUCAGAGGCGAUGAAGGACGUGCUAAUCUGCGAAAAGCGUCGGUAAGGUGAUAUGAACCGUUAUAGCCGGCGAUGUCCGAAUGGGGAAACCCAGUGCAAUUCGUUGCACUAUCGUUAACUGAAUACAUAGGUUAACGAGGCGAACCGGGGGAACUGAAACAUCUAAGUACCCCGAGGAAAAGAAAUCAACCGAGAUUCCCCCAGUAGCGGCGAGCGAACGGGGAGCAGCCCAGAGUCUGAAUCAGCUUGUGUGUUAGUGGAACGGUCUGGAAAGUCCGACGGUACAGGGUGAUAGUCCCGUACACCAAAAUGCACAGGUUGUGAACUCGAAGAGUAGGGCGGGACACGUGGUAUCCUGUCUGAAUAUGGGGGGACCAUCCUCCAAGGCUAAAUACUCCUGACUGACCGAUAGUGAACCAGUACCGUGAGGGAAAGGCGAAAAGAACCCCGGCGAGGGGAGUGAAAAAGAACCUGAAACCGUGUACGUACAAGCAGUGGGAGCACCUUCGGGUGUGACUGCGUACCUUUUGUAUAAUGGGUCAGCGACUUAUAUUCUGUAGCAAGGUUAACCGUAUAGGGGAGCCGCAGGGAAACCGAGUCUUAACUGGGCGUUAAGUUGCAGGGUAUAGACCCGAAACCCGGUGAUCUAGCCAUGGGCAGGUUGAAGGUUGGGUAACACUAACUGGAGGACCGAACCGACUAAUGUUGAAAAAUUAGCGGAUGACUUGUGGCUGGGGGUGAAAGGCCAAUCAAACCGGGAGAUAGCUGGUUCUCCCCGAAAGCUAUUUAGGUAGCGCCUCGUGAACUCAUCUUCGGGGGUAGAGCACUGUUUCGGCUAGGGGGUCAUCCCGACUUACCAACCCGAUGCAAACUACGAAUACCGAAGAAUGUUAUCACGGGAGACACACGGCGGGUGCUAACGUCCGUCGUGAAGAGGGAAACAACCCAGACCGCCAGCUAAGGUCCCAAAGUCAUGGUUAAGUGGGAAACGAUGUGGGAAGGCACAGACAGCCAGGAUGUUGGCUUAGAAGCAGCCAUCAUUUAAAGAAAGCGUAAUAGCUCACUGGUCGAGUCGGCCUGCGCGGAAGAUGUAACGGGGCUAAACCAUGCACCGAAGCUGCGGCAGCGACACUAUGUGUUGUUGGGUAGGGGAGCGUUCUGUAAGCCUGCGAAGGUGACCUGUGAGGGUUGCUGGAGGUAUCAGAAGUGCGAAUGCUGACAUAAGUAACGAUAAAGCGGGUGAAAAGCCCGCUCGCCGGAAGACCAAGGGUUCCUGUCCAACGUUAAUCGGGGCAGGGUGAGUCGACCCCUAAGGCGAGGCCGAAAGGCGUAGUCGAUGGGAAACAGGUUAAUAUUCCUGUACUUGGUGUUACUGCGAAGGGGGGACGGAGAAGGCUAUGUUAGCCGGGCGACGGUUGUCCCGGUUUAAGCAUGUAGGCUGGUUAUCCAGGCAAAUCCGGAUAAUCAAGGCUGAGGUGUGAUGACGAGGUACUACGGUGCUGAAGUAACAAAUGCCCUGCUUCCAGGAAAAGCCUCUAAGCAUCAGGUAACAUCAAAUCGUACCCCAAACCGACACAGGUGGUCAGGUAGAGAAUACCAAGGCGCUUGAGAGAACUCGGGUGAAGGAACUAGGCAAAAUGGUGCCGUAACUUCGGGAGAAGGCACGCUGGUGUGUAGGUGAAGUCCCUGCGGAUGGAGCUGAGACCAGUCGAAGAUACCAGCUGGCUGCAACUGUUUAUUAAAAACACAGCACUGUGCAAACACGAAAGUGGACGUAUACGGUGUGACGCCUGCCCGGUGCCGGAAGGUUAAUUGAUGGGGUUAUCCGUAAGGAGAAGCUCUUGAUCGAAGCCCCGGUAAACGGCGGCCGUAACUAUAACGGUCCUAAGGUAGCGAAAUUCCUUGUCGGGUAAGUUCCGACCUGCACGAAUGGCGUAAUGAUGGCCAGGCUGUCUCCACCCGAGACUCAGUGAAAUUGAACUCGCUGUGAAGAUGCAGUGUACCCGCGGCAAGACGGAAAGACCCCGUGAACCUUUACUAUAGCUUGACACUGAACAUUGAGCCUUGAUGUGUAGGAUAGGUGGGAGGCUUUGAAGCGUGGACGCCAGUCUGCGUGGAGCCAACCUUGAAAUACCACCCUUUAAUGUUUGAUGUUCUAACGUGGGCCCCUAAUCGGGGUUGCGGACAGUGUCUGGUGGGUAGUUUGACUGGGGCGGUCUCCUCCCAAAGCGUAACGGAGGAGCACGAAGGUUAGCUAAUCCUGGUCGGACAUCAGGAGGUUAGUGCAAUGGCAUAAGCUAGCUUGACUGCGAGCGUGACGGCGCGAGCAGGUGCGAAAGCAGGUCAUAGUGAUCCGGUGGUUCUGAAUGGAAGGGCCAUCGCUCAACGGAUAAAAGGUACUCCGGGGAUAACAGGCUGAUACCGCCCAAGAGUUCAUAUCGACGGCGGUGUUUGGCACCUCGAUGUCGGCUCAUCACAUCCUGGGGCUGAAGUAGGUCCCAAGGGUAUGGCUGUUCGCCAUUUAAAGUGGUACGCGAGCUGGGUUUAGAACGUCGUGAGACAGUUCGGUCCCUAUCUGCCGUGGGCGCUGGAGAAUUGAGGGGGGCUGCUCCUAGUACGAGAGGACCGGAGUGGACGCAUCACUGGUGUUCGGGUUGUCAUGCCAAUGGCACUGCCCGGUAGCUAAAUGCGGAAGAGAUAAGUGCUGAAAGCAUCUAAGCACGAAACUUGCCCCGAGAUGAGUUCUCCCUGAGACUUUAAGUCUCCUGAAGGAACGUUGAAGACGACGACGUUGAUAGGCCGGGUGUGUAAGCGCAGCGAUGCGUUGAGCUAACCGGUACUAAUGAACCGUGAGGCUUAACCU
rnacentral:rRNA from 2 species